AAGGGAGGCGCUGCUACCAUGCAGUCGACGGUAAGGCCCCUUCGGGGGUACACGAGUGGCGAACGGGUGAGUAACACGUGAGCAACCUGCCCUUGACAUCGGAAUAAGCCCGAGAAAUCGGGUCUAAUACCGAAUAAUCACUCUCGCGGACAUCUGCGAGAAUGCAAAGCUCUGGCGGUCAAGGAUGGGCUCGCGGCCUAUCAGCUAGUUGGUGAGGUAACGGCUCACCAAGGCUUCGACGGGUAGCCGGCCUGAGAGGGCGACCGGCCACACUGGGACUGAGAUACGGCCCAGACUCCUACGGGAGGCAGCAGUGGGGAAUAUUGCACAAUGGGCGAAAGCCUGAUGCAGCAACGCCGCGUGCGGGAUGACGGCCUUCGGGUUGUAAACCGCUUUCAGUACCGACGAAGCGAAAGUGACGGUAGGUGCAGAAGAAGGACCGGCCAACUACGUGCCAGCAGCCGCGGUGAUACGUAGGGUCCGAGCGUUGUCCGGAAUUAUUGGGCGUAAAGGGCUUGUAGGCGGUCCGCUGCGUCGGAAGUGAAAACUCAGGGCUUAACCCUGAGCCUGCUUCCGAUACGGGCGGACUAGAGGAAUGCAGGGGAGAAUGGAAUACCUGGUGGAGCGGUGGAAUGCGCAGAUAUCAGGUGGAACACCAGUGGCGAAGGCGGUUCUCUGGGCAUUUCCUGACGCUGAGAAGCGAAAGCGUGGGGAGCAAACAGGCUUAGAUACCCUGGUAGUCCACGCCGUAAACGGUGGGCACUAGGUGUGGGACUCAUUCCACGAGUUCCGUGCCGUAGCUAACGCAUUAAGUGCCCCGCCUGGGGAGUACGGCCGCAAGGCUAAAACUCAAAGGAAUUGACGGGGGCCCGCACAAGCGGCGGAGCAUGCGGAUUAAUUCGAUGCAACGCGAAGAACCUUACCUGGGUUUGACAUAUACCGGAAAGCUGCAGAGAUGUAGCCCCCGCAAGGUCGGUAUACAGGUGGUGCAUGGCUGUCGUCAGCUCGUGUCGUGAGAUGUUGGGUUAAGUCCCGCAACGAGCGCAACCCUCGUCCUAUGUUGCCAGCGGAUAAUGCCGGGGACUCAUAGGAGACUGCCGGGGUCAACUCGGAGGAAGGUGGGGAUGACGUCAAGUCAUCAUGCCCCUUAUGUCCAGGGCUUCACGCAUGCUACAAUGGCUGGUACAAAGAGCUGCGAGACCGCAAGGUUAAGCGAAUCUCAAAAAGCCAGUCUCAGUUCGGAUUGGGGUCUGCAACUCGACCCCAUGAAGUCGGAGUCGCUAGUAAUCGCAGAUCAGCAAUGCUGCGGUGAAUACGUUCCCGGGCCUUGUACACACCGCCCGUCAAGUCAUGAAAGUCGGUAACACCCGAAGCCGGUGGCCCAACCCUUGUGGAGGGAGCCGUCGAAGGUGGGACCGGCGAUUAGACUAAGUCGUAACAAGGUAGCCGUACCGGAAGGUGCGGCUGGAAACAACCUUCUAUA
rnacentral:rRNA from 1 species